rnacentral:misc_RNA from 1 species
AAUUUUGAAGAGAAUGAUUUCCAGGUAUUUUUUGUCUUUCUUCUCAUGCCUUGAUCCAGUGCUUUGUGGUCAACUGAUCAAAGAAUGUUUUGUUACGAGUCACUUGAUAAAUGGAUGAAUCAUAUAAAGUAACUGCUUGGUUGAGCCUACAUGAGGCAAGAGAAGCAGUGGUGAGGAGAAGAAAAAAGAAAAUAACUAGUGAUCUCAUGUGCAUAAAUGCCUUGUCUGGGCAAGAAAUUAAAUUUUGAUUGGACUAAAUUGUCCUUGUGGCUAAUGCUCUAAAAUUGCCUUAUAUAUAUUUUUUUUAGAAAUAUUCUGAUCAACUACUACUAAUAGCAUUUUUCUUUACGCUCUUAAUAUGUUAGUUUCCAUUUAAAUCUUUUUUCCCUGGGACUGAAAUGAUGUUUAUAGAAUUAUUUAUACUAAUUAACAUAAAAAUUUUCAACUUCUUUCAAGACUAUUAGUUACUAAGAAAAUUUUUUAAAAAACAAAACAAAUAAGUUAAAAUUAGUCAUGAAAGAAUAAAAACAAAAACAAAAACAAAUCUUGUUCAAAAUUGAUAGAUCAAAAUUUGCAAUUUGGACCUUAUUACAUAGUAAUUGCUUUGGAGUACUGAACUUCAAAAGUUGCAACGUUCUGCAAUACUAAUGUGCGAU